UACGUAGGGUGCGAGCGUUGUCCGGAAUUAUUGGGCGUAAAGAGCUCGUAGGCGGUCUGUCGCGCCGAUCGUGAAAACUUGGGGCUUAACCCUGAGCUUGCGGUCGAUACGGGCAUGACUGGAGUUCGGCAGGGGAGACUGGAAUUCCUGGUGUAGCGGUGAAAUGCGCAGAUAUCAGGAGGAACACCGGUGGCGAAGGCGGGUCUCUGGGCCGAUACUGACGCUGAGGAGCGAAAGCGUGGGGAGCGAACAGG
rnacentral:rRNA from 1 species